GACGAACGCUGGCGGCGUGCUUAACACAUGCAAGUCGAACGGAAAGGCCCUGCUUUUGUGGUGUGCUCGAGUGGCGAACGGGUGAGUAACACGUGAGUAACCUGCCCUUGACUUUGGGAUAAAUUCAGGAAAAUGGGGCUAAUACCGGAUAGGAGCUCCUGCUGCAUGGUGGGGGUUGGAAAGUUUCGGCGGUUGGGGAUGGACUCGCGGCUUAUCAGCUUGUUGGGGGGGUAGUGAAUUACCAAGGCUUUGAAGGGUAGCCGGCCUGAGAGGGUGACCGGCCACAUUGGUACUGAGAUACGGCCCAGACGCCAACGGGAGGCAGCAGGGGGGAAUAUUGCACAAUGGGCGGAAGCCUGAUGCAGCAGCGCCGCGUGCGGGAUGACGUCCUUCGGGUUGUAAACCGCUUUCGCCUGUGACGAAGCGUGAGUGACGGUAAUGGGUAAAGAAGCACCGGCUAACUACGUG
rnacentral:rRNA from 1 species